rnacentral:rRNA from 1 species
UGGCUCAGAACGAACGCUGGCGGCAGGCCUAACACAUGCAAGUCGAACGCCCUAGUAAUAGGGAGUGGCAGACGGGUGAGUAACACGUGGGAACCUUCCCUAUAGUACGGAAUAGCCCAGGGAAACUUGGAGUAAUACCGUAUAAGCCCGAGAGGGGAAAGAUUUAUCGCUAUAGGAUGGGCCCGCGUAGGAUUAGCUAGUUGGUGAGGUAACGGCUCACCAAGGCAACGAUCCAUAGCUGGUUUGAGAGGAUGAUCAGCAACACUGGGACUGAGACACGGCCCAGACUCCUACGGGAGGCAGCAGUGGGGAAUCUUAGACAAUGGGCGCAAGCCUGAUCUAGCCAUGCCGCGUGGACGAUGAAGGCCUUAGGGUUGUAAAGUCCUUUCAGAUGGGAAGAUAAUGACGGUACCAUCAGAAGAAGCCCCGGCUAACUCCGUG